UUUGAGAGGAACAAGACAGAAGGCAGGUACUGAGAGAAACUAUGACUCCAGAGAGGGGAUGCUCAAAUCCCCUGUACUUAAAUAAAGGGAAACUCCAGCAGAAUAAUCUUCUUAGCAGUCUUUUUACUGCAGCCAGAGGAUGGUGUAAGCACUGGACACAAAGAAAUCUUCAUAAAGGCUAAGAGAUGAACCCCCAGUGCCAUGAUCUCCACAAACUGUGCACAGAGAGGACUUUGAAAUACAGAACCCCAGGCCAUUCUGAGGCAAAGUGCUGGCUUGUUUCCUCUGGUUUCAGCAAACACCUGCCUGCACCUGUGUGAGGGUGGCUGCAGGGCUCCACCCUGGGCCCAGCCCACACCCAGCCUGGGCACCAUACUGCCUCCCGGCCCUGUGGGCAGGAGCUGUGCAAGGGCCUGAGGUGAGGCUCCACCACCACUGCAACACUGUUGUGGCUGUAGCUGUGGAUGCAGAUAUGGAUACAGUCAUGGACAUCGAUGGUGCUGUGGAAAACAUGUUUGACUGUGAAUUCCCAGCACUGGAGUCAGGGAACUAGAACAGAGCAGUAUAAGGAGAUGGUCUUCCCAGAAGGAAAUCUUUUAUCGGCAGUGACCCAGUCAUGUGAAACUUUCUCAUCCCCAGGCAGAAUUAACUGCCCGCUGCCAUGCUUCUUCAGCACAUCUGCACCAAGUAAACACCCAAAAACACCCUGUCUUCAACAGGAGGUACAUGCUGAUUCCUUAGAGAUGUGAACGUGCACUAAGAACAGCUUUGAGUCGUGCACAACGUGCAGAUCAAAAACUAACACAUGGGACUAAAUCCUCACUGUUGUAACCCUUUAUGAAAGAACUACUGUGUUUAAAUUUUUAUUUAUUUUUUUUUCCCAAGCAUUCAGUGGGCUGCUCUGAUACAGUAAACUGCUCUUUUGGAUCAGCUGCAGGUUGUAGCUCUUGCCUAGGGCUGAUAGGGUGUUCUGUAAUUAAUUGUGCGUGUAUUGUGCUUCAUUACUAAAGCAAGCAAACACCGCUGGUUAAAGGGUUUCUGUCUGGAGGAUCUGUUAUGGUCACACACUCACGGGGCUGGGUUUGUUACUUGCUGAUCAGGGAUUCACAUUGGUGAAGUUCAUUCUAUUCUUGCAAGUAUAAUAAACGAAAGGGAACAAGGGCUACCUUUCUCAAGAGCUCUUCAGCCCUAAGAGAAGGGACAGGGUGGUUAAGGUAUGUCAUGUACAGUUAUUCUUGAACCUCUUCAAACACACAUAUUUGAGCUGCACAGCAGCUCGCGUGAACCUGAAAAACACCGUAAACAGGAGGCUAAACUGACUCAUCGCUUGGAGGCAUCAACAGACCUUGAGCUUUGUCUUUCCUCCUGAUUUUUAUCCUUGAAGACCGCCUCAGAGGAACUCUGGGAGCAAACACCUCUUGACUGCAAGGCCAGUCACUGGGUACAGAACGGGAUUUCCAGCUGUGUCAGUGCUUGACUCUGAGAAAGAACACGGGGAACAUUAAUGCCUGUGGGACCCGAAUGUCUACGUCCUGGAAACAGUCCUGAAAUACCUCAGUCAUUGCUUGCAUUUCUGCCAGUCCUUCAGACUUUCCUGUCUUUCUACUCCUCUUCCCCCCAGUACAUAUAUAUUUUCUGUAGCCUGAAAAACUGAGUCCAUAAUGGAGAAGAGGCAAAACAUGGAAAAAAAAAAAAAAAUCACAAAUCCUCCCAUAGCACCAGCUCUAAAAGCCUUUGAGCACUGUGCAAGCUGUUAAUAAAACAGCACAGCCUUGUGAAACAUGCCACAAGCAGCAUCUCUGUGCAAAUCUCCAGCAGCAUCCCCCCAGCCUGCCUGCUGCCAGGGUGUCGUGGGGCUGGGAGGGCAGGAGACUCCCUCGGCUUGCACGCACGCCCCCGGAGCCAGAGUGCAGCUCUAAACAUAGCUCCUGUCACGUGCGAGGAGCCAAGGCUGCUGCAGACGCCCACGCUGCG